rnacentral:rRNA from 1 species
AUUGAACGCUGGCGGCAGGCCUAACACAUGCAAGUCGAGCGGAUGAAGGGAGCUUGCUCCUGGAUUCAGCGGCGGACGGGUGAGUAAUGCCUAGGAAUCUGCCUGGUAGUGGGGGAUAACGUCCGGAAACGGGCGCUAAUACCGCAUACGUCCUGAGGGAGAAAGUGGGGGAUCUUCGGACCUCACGCUAUCAGAUGAGCCUAGGUCGGAUUAGCUAGUUGGUGGGGUAAAGGCCUACCAAGGCGACGAUCCGUAACUGGUCUGAGAGGAUGAUCAGUCACACUGGAACUGGGACACGGUCAAGACUCCUACGGGAGGCAGCAGUGGGGAAUAUUGGACAAAGGGCGAAAGCCUGAUCCAGCCAUGCGGCGUGUGUGAAGAAGGUCUUCGGAUUGUAAAGCACGUUAAGUUGGGAGGAAGGGCAGUAAGUUAAUACCUUGCUGUUUUGACGUUACCAACAGAAUAAGCACCGGCUAACUUCGUG